GCCACGCCCAGGCCAGCGCAGGCAGAGUGUCCCCACAGCCUAGCCACAGCCGGGCGGCCCCUCCCUGCCUCGCUGGCCUCCACUCUGGAGCGGCACUUCCUGAGGCUCUGAGGGCCACGCUGGGUCCGGUCCGGGCUUGGCCUCCGCCCGGGCCGGGCCUCUGCUGCCCGCCGCCCCCCAGGGCCUGGCUUGAGGACGCCUCUCCUUCAGGAACGCGCGCGCCUGUCGCGCCCUGGCCCAGCCACACGUGAGCCUGGGAAGACUUAAAGAAUGGGCGAGCAGCGUCCUCGAGCCCCAGCGGAGCCCUGCCCUGGGGAGGUACCCGCUGUGGCCAGACGCGGGAGGACAGAGAGGACAGCCCUGUCGCGGGAAGUGCAUGGGUUGGCCUGUGGCACCGGGGACCUCAGCUGGCCUGGCACAAGUGAAAUCUCAGAAACCAAGACCCGAGGAGAGGGGACAGUCGCACAGACUGGCAACACACGCGAUGGCUAGGAGGUGACGGAGGCGGGGACGCGCCUGCGCGGGGCACUGGCAGAUGCGCAGGAAAUGACCGCGACCCUCCUGCCCUGCCGGGGCUUGCAUUGCCGCUGUUUGGGGGCCUCGAGAGAGGGGCGGCCGUCCACAUGCUCGGUAGAUCCCAGGUCCCAGUCCAAAGUCACCCCGGGUCACCAGCACCACACUUUUUUUUCUUUUGGUGCCGGGCGCUUAGCCACCGAGCCCCAUCGGCAGCCCACUUAGUGUGUGUGGAGACGGGUUCUGCUGCCUUGCUUAGCGCCUCCCUAAGGUCCCCAAGCUGGCUUGACCUUGUGAUCCUCCUGCCUCAGCCUCCUGAGCCUCUGGGAUGACAGGCGUGGCCACCAGCCCGGGUCACCAUACUUGAAGAAGGCAUCCCUCGCCAUUUUGUAGCAUUUCUUUGGGUCAGGUGUGUGCCCCGCGUGGCCCAGGUUUCCCCAACUGUCAUGGAGGAGACAGACCAGAUGGCUCUGGGGGACUCUCCCCUCCGUCCCCUCUCUGUCCCACCCUGACUUUCCAUCAGGUGCAGGGUGACAGCAGGGGACCAGGCCAUUUUGGCCAGCGACCCCUACCCACACUCCCAGGUGGCCAAAGUGUCCUGCGGCAUCACCGUGCCGCUGAGGAGGAAGGCGACGCCGUCUGCGGCCCAGGAACCAGCCCCACACCCCGGCACCAGCGCCUUCCACAGGCCCAGCUGCGCCUGGCCCAGGGACGCAGCAGACACCAAGACGGCGCAGGCCUCGUCAUCGUCCCGUUAGCGAUGACUGGAGGUAACUUGUAACGGGGGAAACCAAACCCGAUUUGAAGAGAGGUGGGAAGGGGACUCAGCAGCAACAGGGCUUGCGUUUGGCGGUUGAACGGCGGAGCCUGGGUGAUGAGCAUCAAAAUUAUCAUCAAAAACUUUCUGGUCACCCCGGCCCAGGGAUGCUGUAGACCCAGCUGCUCCAGAGGCUGAGGAAGAGGAUCUGUUUGAGCCCAGGAGUCCAAGGCAACCUGGGUGACAUCAAGAGACCCUGCCUUGCCGGGUGCGGUGGCGCAUGCCUCUAAGCCCAGCAGCUCAGGAGGCUGAGGCAGGAGGAUCGUGAGCUCAAAGGCAGCCUCAGCAACCGCAAGGGUCUAAGCAACUCAGUGAGACCUGUCUCUAAAUAGAAUACAAAAUAGGGCUGGGGAUGCGGCUCAGUGGUCGAGGGCCCCUGAGCUCAGUCCCCGGUACCAAAAAGAAAGAAAGAAACCCUGCCUUGAAAAAAGGAAAACUUUGAAGACUGAGUGGCCCUGGGGCUCAGGGUGCUGCGGGAAUGGACAUAUUAGCAGUCCCCUUAGUGCAGUUUUGAUUUUCCCGGGUCCAGUUCCCUGCGGUCAAACAUCGCCUGAAAUAUUAAACGGAAGCUUCCAGAAACAAGUCA